rnacentral:lncRNA from 1 species
UUACCAGGUGCUCAACAUUUUCUAGGGAAAAUGAAUUGUUCAAGCCAGAGAAAAAUAUAAAUAAUAUAUCCUAUUGGAUUUAAACACAAGUGCUGAGAGGGUUUUAGAAAAAAAUUAACCUAAGUUUGAUAUAUUUUUUAGUUUGGAAUAUUUGUAAAAAUAUUCAUAAAUUGGGGAUUUUAAAAAAUUAUACGACUAUGUUUAAAACAUUUUAAGAUAAUAGAAGUACUUCCC